UGUAUAAUGACAAAGUGACGUCAUUUCAUUUGGCUGCUCAGUUGAGUGUUAGCUGUGCUUAGCUUCCAUAACAAGGCCCAUUUACCACUCCAGUGUGCAGUUAGCAAGCUAACGAUGGCUCCACCCUGAAAAUGCGUCUUUGCUGGAUGCCUCAAUUUACAGAACAGAUCGGUGACGUUUUUUGAAACUCUCAAACAAUGAGGAAAUAAAAAAAGCAAUGGAUUGACUUUUUGAAGACACACGCGGAUGGCGAGCUGAACCGCAACACCACCAGCCGACUCUGCAGUGCGCAUUUUACGACGGAUAGUUUUAUGGAGGUAAACCGUGUCCUCGCUGACGUAAUACCUCAGCAGCUUUACCAUGUACGGCACUCCUUGAGGAAUGAUAGUCGGCUGCUCCCUGCUUUCCCAACUGGAUUUCAUCAGACUCUGCAAAAAAUAAAUAUCCUUCCAACUUGUAGGCACCUACUAUGAUACAUCAUAUUCUAGUCAUAUUGGCACCUUGGAACAGGACAGUACACCCCGCUGCAAUAUCGAGUGGGACUCAACGCAACAGUACGAGACGCAUGACAACCAUGAAAGAAGCUCUGUAACGCUUAAUUCCCUUGGAAGCGGGGUACGUCUGCUGCAAGCACUCGCAGCAAGCACGUCCUUUAAACCUCAGUGACUCUCCGU